UACGUAGGGUGCAAGCGUUAAUCGGAAUUACUGGGCGUAAAGCGUGCGCAGGCGGUUCGUUAUGUCCGAUGUGAAAGCCCCGAGCUUAACUUGGGAAUGGCAUUGGAAACUGGCGGGCUGGAGUGCGGCAGAGGGGGGUGGAAUUCCACGUGUAGCAGUGAAAUGCGUAGAGAUGUGGAGGAACACCGAUGGCGAAGGCAGCCCCUGGGCCGACACUGACGCUCAGGCACGAAAGCGUGGGGAGCAAACAGG
rnacentral:rRNA from 1 species